GAGUCUCACAGUAUACCAACACAUCUCAGAGUCAGAGACACGUUUCAAUACCACUGACAACAUGCUCGAUUUCCUUUGACAACCAAAACCUAUUGACAUUUUCCUAUACUGUCCAUUAACAGUGCGAGCCUGGAUGCUAGGCUGUUUCUGCUUUAGCUAGCUUGUCUUGUGUUUCCUAAACUGCCUAGAAUCCAAGAGGGUGUUAUAUUUCUCAAUACAACCCCUUGAGCUUUCUUUCUUUCUUUCUUUCUUUCUUUCUUUCUGUUGUGAGCAUUGGAUUCAGUUCACCAACUAUAGUAGAUGUUUUUUUCUUGAUUUGCUCAAGUUAUUAUGUGCCUUGCUAGGAUUUGCGUCUGUCUGGGUAUCAGAGUGACUCUGGUCAAUGUUGUUUUUCCUCUGUAGCUUUGGGAUGGUUUUAUCACUAUGAAGGGAAGCACACUCCGCAAGGUAUUCUGUACGGUCGCAGUUUGGUGUGCUGUGAGUGUGUUCUCUCGAAGCUAACACAUAUACACUGCCUUCAGAAAGUAUGCAUACUCCUUGACUUACUCCACAUUUAGUAGUGUUACGACCUGAAUUCAAAAUGGAUUACAUUUAUGUUUUUCUCACCCAUCUACACACACUACCCCAUAAUGACAAAGGGAAAAAGUUUGUUGAAAUUUUAGCAAAUUUAUUAGAAACUAAAUAAAUGAGUAUUCACUCCCCCGAGUCAAUACUUUGUAGAAGCACCUUUGGCAGAGAUUACAGCUGUGAGUCUUUCUUUGUUAGUCACUCUGGGCUCCAAAGUGGCACAGCAGUCUAAGGCACUGCAUCUCAGUGAAAGAGGCGUUACUAUAGUACCUGGUUCGAGUCCAGGCUGUAUCACAGCUGAGUGUGAUUGGGAGUCCCAUAGGGCGGCACACAAUUGGCCCAGCAUUGUCCGGGUUUGGCCGGAGUAGGCCGUCAUUGUAAAUAAGAAUUUGUUCUUAACUGACUUGCCUACUUAAAUAAAGGAUUAAAAACAUACAAAUAAGAGCUUUUAACAACUGGAUUGUACAAUAUUUGCACGUUAGUCUUGCCAGAAAUUUUCAAGCCGAUUUUAGUCAAAACUGUAACUUGGCCACUCAAACGGCUCUCCUGUGAAGUCGUGACUUGCGACAUACGCCUAGUUUCCUGAAUCGGGUCACAUUUGUAAAAAAUGUCUAAAAACAUAAUUCCCCUUUGACAUUGUAGAGUAUUGUGUGUAGGCCAGUGACACAAAAUCAAUUUUAAAUUCAGGCUUUAACACAACAAAAUGUGGAAAAAGUCAAGGGGUUUGAAUACUUUCUGAAUGCACUGUAGUUAACUUGACUUCUUUACUGGUCCUGUCACCACAAUGCUGCGGUAGUUAUUAACCUAUAUUGUGAUGGCCGUCAGUCUCUGUUGGAAGUUGGAAAACGUUCUUGUACUGUAUCGUUUUUUGCAUAAUUUGUCGUUUGUCGUGGAAUCAUCGGUUCUGGUUUCUCCCUGCUUUCUAUAAUUCUAAACUUUACUGAAGAAGAAGAAGGUGUCCAACAUUGACACCUUGCAGGAACAGAGGAAGAACAAGAAAUAUAUGGAGUUUGAGCUGAAGCUGGCUGCAGAGAAGGAGGAAAUAUAUGAACGAGAGAAACAGCUGAAGAUCAGUAGACUGGUGGAGGAGGUGUCAGAGACUGAGCAGGAGGAUCUGGAGGAGUCAGAGAAGGUGCAGCACUGGGUGGAACGUCUCUGUCAGACACAGCUGGAACAAAUUUCCUGUGUAGAGAACGAGUCCCCAAAGUGAUAGCCUCUGGGCCCAUGGUGAGGCAUUUCUACGGGGGUCUCCAGCUGGCCACCACUGACCUGGAUGAUUUCAACAUGGAUGAGACCAGAGUCUGAAAGGGCCCCUGAAGAGACUGGCCCCCACCCAGCCUUCUUCCUCCCAGCCCCCACCAGCCCUACCUCUCCCUCCACUUUCCCCCAGACUCAA